UUUCAGCUUACUCAUAUUUGCGUCGCUUUCAUAAAUAAAAACGACGCAAAAGAUAAUGUUAUUUGCGUUGCUCAUUUAUUGACAGGUGACGCAAAUAGCUUUGUGAGUAAAUUGCGUCACUUCUUUCUUUAUUGAGUGACGCAAAUGACUAUUACAAUUACAAUCCACUCAACACUUCCUCACAUUCAAUAUAAAACACUCUUGUUGCCAUGUCGCCGUUCGAACUUCAAAACCCUAGCAGCUUCAACUGAAAAAUCCCCUAAAAUUCAACAUCAAAACCUCAAGAAAUUCGUCUAACUAGCCGAAUCUCCAGCGCUGCCUUGUUGUCGUUCGUACUGCAAAACCCUAGCGAAUUCAACAGCAAAACCCUGAUAAAUUCGACCCCAAACCAACAAAUUUGACCCCAAAAUCAAUAAAUUCAACCAGUAAUUGAAAACCCCGGAAUAUCCAAGCCAAAACCCCCCAUUUUCAAGCAAAUCCGAGGCAAAACACCCUAUUUUUGAGCAAAAAUCGACCAAAACCCCCACGAAAUUCGAACUAUUAAAACCGCUGAUAGUCGAGAUGAAAUACUCUACAUCGAGGCUAGCAAGGGAUUGCUGCUUGUUGGUGUUGCUGUUGAUGGUUAGCAGGGGAAGCAGUGGAGAUGGUUGACAGUAAUAAGAGGUGCGAAAUUAUCGUUUUAGGUAUGCAGCAGGUGCUUGUGGUUGAUGGUGAGUGCGGUGGUCUGGCCUAGUGUAGUGGGCAAUUUGUUGCAGAUAGCUAUUUUGUUGUUGAGUUGUUUGUGAAUUGCAGGGGAUAAUGUCAAGGAUUUUUCAAGAACAAUACCUUAUAAUGGGGAGGAGAUAAAUGAGGUUCGAUAUAUUUAGUCAAACUAUUUCAUGAUCAACGUUGAAAUUUAGAUUUAAACUUAGCUAAAUCCAUUUGUUUGUUAGACUUUUUUUUUUGUUUUAGUUCUUAGGCUUGAAAUGAAUGUAUUUGGGGUACCAACAUUUUGGGUUGGUCUUUGUUCUUGUGUUGGUUGAUGAUAUCAAUAAUUUUGAGUUGUAAAAUUUUGAGACUCUGCCGAAAUUUACAUUUGCAUUCAAUAAUAUUGCAUUUUAAUUUCAAUUA